GCCGCAGUAAUUUGACUGUGCGAAGGUAGCAUAAUCAUUAGUCUUUUAAUUGGAGGCUUGUAUGAAUGGCUGGAUGAAGGAUAAGCUGUCUUUUAUAUAUAAGUUGAAUUUAACUUUUAAGUGAAAAGGCUUAGAUAAAUUAGGGGGACGAUAAGACCCUAUAAAACUUUAUACUAUUAAGCUUAAGUUGUAAAUAAUGUAAAAAAUAGUUUUUGUUUAAUAGUAUUUUAUUGGGGCGAUAAAAAUAUAAUUGUAACUGUUUUAUAAAAGAUAUACUAAUAAGUAUAAACUGAUCCUUAAUUAAAGAUUAAAAGAUUAAGUUACUUUAGGGAUAACAGCGUAAUUUUCUUUGAGAGUUCUUAUCGAUAAGAGUAGUUGCGACCUCGAUGUUGAAUUAAAAUUUCAGCUGGGUGAAGCAUUUCAGCUAGUGGGUCUGUUCGACCUUUAAAAUU
rnacentral:rRNA from 1 species